rnacentral:rRNA from 1 species
AGCAGCCGCGGUAAUUCCAGCUCCAAUAGCGUAUAUUAAAGUUGUUGCAGUUAAAAAGCUCGUAGUUGAAUUUCGGGAUCAAUACGUCGGUCGUGCUUCGGUACGUACUGGCGUCAUUGAUUUCUCCCUUCUGACGAACCAUGAUGUCAUUAACUUGGUGUCAUGGGAAAUCAGGACUGUUACUUUGAAAAAUUAGAGUGUUUAAAGCAGGCUCACGCUUGAAUACAUUAGCAUGGAAUAAUGGAAUAGGACGUUCGAUCCUAUUUUGUUGGUUUCCAGGAUUGACGUAAUGAUUAAUAGGGAUAGUUGGGGCAUUAGUAUUCAAUUGUCAGAGGUGAAAUUCUUGGAUUUAUUGAAGACUAACUACUGCGAAAGCAUUUGCCAAGGAUGUUUUCAUUAAUCAAGAACGAAAGUUAGGGGAUCGAAGACGAUCAG